CAUUCACGGAGAGUUUGAUCCUGGCUCAGGACGAACGCUGGCGGCGUGCUUAACACAUGCAAGUCGAACGAUGAACCG
rnacentral:rRNA from 1 species